rnacentral:rRNA from 1 species
CUACGGGCGGCACCAGUGGGGAAUUUUGCGCAAUGGGCGAAAGCCUGACGCAGCAAUACCGCGUGAGUGAAGAAGGCCUUUGGGUCGUAAAGCUCUUUUCUGAAGGAAGAUAGUGACGGUACUUCAGGAAUAAGCACCGGCUAACUCCGUGCCAGCAGCCGCGGUAAUACGGAGGGUGCAAGCGUUGUUCGGAUUUACUGGGCGUAAAGGGCACGUAGGCGGCACAGCAAGUUAUGGGUGAAAUCCCGGGGCUCAACUCCGGAACUGCUCAUAAAACUGCUGAGCUAGAGAUAGUCAGAGGCGGGUGGAAUUCCUGGUGUAGAGGUGAAAUUCGUAGAUAUCAGGAGGAACACCGGUGGCGAAGGCGGCCCGCUGGGGCUAUUCUGACGCUAAGGUGCGAAAGCGUGGGGAGCGAACGGGAUUAGAUACCCCCGUAGUC